AGGAUUAACGCUGGCGGCGUGCCUAACACAUGCAAGUCGAACGAGGUAGCAAUACCUAGUGGCAGACGGGUGAGUAACGCGUGGUCAACCUACCGUUGAGUGGGGGAUAACUAGCCGAAAGGUUAGCUAAUACCGCAUACGAGUCUCGGGGGCAUCCCUGGGCCUUAAAAGGAGCAAUCCGCUCGAUGACGGGACCGCGUCCCAUUAGCUAGAUGGUGGGGUAAUGGCCUACCAUGGCUCCGAUGGGUAGCUGGUUUGAGAGAGCGACCAGCCACACUGGGACUGAGAAACGGCCCAGACUCCUACGGGAGGCAGCAGUGAGGAAUUUUCCGCAAUGGGCGAAAGCCUGACGGAGCGACGCCGCGUGUGGGAAGAAGGCCUUCGAGUCGUAAACCACUGUCGAAGGGGACGAUAAUGACGGUACCCUUGGAGGAAGCCCCGGCUAACUACGCGCCAGCAGCCGC
rnacentral:rRNA from 1 species